rnacentral:rRNA from 1 species
UACAGAGGGUGCAAGCGUUAUUCGGAAUUAUUGGGCGUAAAGAGCGCGUAGGCGGUUUGAUAAGUUUGAUGUGAAAUCCCUGGACUCAAUCCAGGAAGUGCAUUGAAUACUGUCAGACUUGAGUGCGGGAGAGGAGAGUGGAAUUCCUGGUGUAGAGGUGAAAUUCGUAGAUAUCAGGAGGAACAACAGAGGCGAAGGCGACUCUCUGGACCGCUACUGACGCUGAGGCGCGAAAGUGUGGGGAGCAAACAGG